GGCAACAUGGCCGAGUGGUCUAAGGCGCUAGAAUCAGGACAUUCGCUUAGUCAUCUAGUCCUUCGGGGCGUGGGUUCGAGUCCCACUGUUGUCA